rfam:Triticum aestivum genome assembly, contig: Triticum_aestivum_CS42_TGACv1_scaffold_558000_7AL
CUUCUACUCCCUCCGUCCGGAAUUACUUGUCAUAAAAUGGAUAAAAGUGGAUGUAUCUAGAACUAAAAUAUGUAUAGAUACAUCCAUUUCUUUACCAAGUAUUUCCGGACCAAGGAAGUAUAUU